UUGGAGACUACAACGUUGAUAGGCAAGGUGUGGAAGCAUAGUGAUAUGUUAAGCUAACUUGUACUAAUUACCCGUGAGGCUUAACCAUACAACGCCAAACGCGUUU
rnacentral:rRNA from 1 species